GAUGAACGCUAGCUACAGGCUUAACACAUGCAAGUCGAGGGACUGGCGUAUGGGUGAGUAACGCGUAUCUAACCUUCCCAUUACUGUGGGAUAACCUGCCGAAAGGCAGACUAACACCGCAUAGUAAUGCACGGGGAUGCGUGCGAUUAGCUUGUUGGCGGGGUAACGGCCCACCAAGGCGACGAUCAGGAGGGGUUCUGAGAGGAAGGUCCCCCACAUUUGAACUAAGACACAGUCCAAACGCCUACGGGGGUGAGCAGUGAUGAGUAUUAGUGAAUGGACGGGAGUCUUGCCCAGCCAAGUGGCGUGUAGGAUGACGACCUAUGAGAUGUAACCAGCUUUUGUAUGGGGAUAGGUACCAUAUGAAUAAGGACCGGCUAAUUCCGUGCCAGCAGCCGCGGUAAUUC
rnacentral:rRNA from 1 species